rnacentral:snRNA from 1 species
AGGCGAGUCUAUACUCGCUGAAU